rnacentral:rRNA from 1 species
GAUCAUGACGUGCUUGCACUGAAUGAGAUUUUAACACGAAGUGAGUGGCGGACGGGUGAGUAACACGUGGGUAACCUGCCCAGAAGCAGGGGAUAACACCUGGAAACAGAUGCUAAUACCGUAUAACAGAGAAAACCGCCUGGUUUUCUUUUAAAAGAUGGCUCUGCUAUCACUUCUGGAUGGACCCGCGGCGCAUUAGCUAGUUGGUGAGGUAACGGCUCACCAAGGCGAUGAUGCGUAGCCGACCUGAGAGGGUAAUCGGCCACAUUGGGACUGAGACACGGCCCAGACUCCUACGGGAGGCAGCAGUAGGGAAUCUUCCACAAUGGACGCAAGUCUGAUGGAGCAACGCCGCGUGAGUGAAGAAGGGUCUUCGGCUCGUAAAGCUCUGUUGUUAAAGAAGAACGUGGGUGAGAGUAACUGUUCACCCAGUGACGGUAUUUAACCAGAAAGCCACGGCUAACUACGUGCCAGCAGCCGCGGUAAUACGUAGGUGGCAAGCGUUAUCCGGAUUUAUUGGGCGUAAAGCGAGCGCAGGCGGUCUUUCUAAGUCUAAUGUGAAAGCCUCCGGCUCAACCGAAAGAAGUGCAU